AGGGCGCAUGGUGGAUGCCUUGGCUCACGGAGGCGAUGAAGGACGUGAUAAGCUGCGAUAAGCUCCGGUGAGGUGCAAAUAACCUUUGACCCGGAGAUUUCCGAAUGGGACAACCCAGCAGUCUGAAGGACUGUUAUCUCCGCUAAGCGGAGAGGCAAACCCGGGGAACUGAAACAUCUUAGUACCCGGAGGAAGAGAAAACAAUAGUGAUUCCCCCAGUAGUGGCGAGCGACCGGGGAAGAGCCCAAACCGGUGAUGUAGCAAUGCACCGCCGGGGUUGUAGGACCACGCCGUAGUAUCUCAAUCGCGAGUGGAACAUUCUGGAAAGAAUGUCCAUAGAGGGUGACAGACCCGUACACGAAGCGAACGAGAGCUUAGUGGUAUCCUGAGUAACGCGGGACACGAGUAAUCCUGCGCGAAUCCGCCGGGCCCAUCCGGCAAGGCUAAAUACUCCCGUGAGACCGAUAGUGAACCAGUACCGUGAGGGAAAGGUGAAAAGCACCCCGAUGAGGGGAGUGAAACAGAUCCUGAAACCAUGCGCCUACAAGCGGUCGGAGCUGCUUUAUGCAGUGACGGCGUGCCUUUUGCAUAAUGAACCUACGAGUUGCCGUCACUGGCGAGGUUAAUUGCAACGAUGCAAGCAGCCGCAGUGAAAGCGAGCCUGAACAGGGCGCAUAGUCAGUGGAGGCAGACGCGAAACCGAGUGAUCUACACUUGUCCAGGAUGAAGUCCCGGUAACACGGGAUGGAGGUCCGCACCGAUAAGCGUUGAAAAGCUUCCGGAUGAGGCGAGUGUAGGAGUGAAAGGCCAAUCAAACUCGGAGAUAGCUCGUACUCCCCGAAAGGCAUUUAGGUGCCGCGUGGGGCGUUCUGCGUGAGAGGUAGAGCGACCGAUAGGAUGCGAGGGCUUCACCGCCUGUCAAGUCCUGACGAACUCCGAAUGCUCACGCACAGUAGCCCUGCAGUAAGGGGACGGGUGCUAAGGUCCGUUCCCGAGAGGAGAAGAAUCCAGACCGCCGUCUAAGGCCCCUGAGUUCCGUCUGAGUUAGUCUAACGAAGUCCCGUUGCUGUGACAGCCAGGAUGUUGGCUUGGAAGCAGCCAUUCAUUCAAAGAGUGCGUAACAGCUCACUGGUCGAGUGAUGGGGCGUGGAUAAUAAUCGGGUAUAAGACGGACGCCGAAGGCGCGGGAUAGCAAUGAUAAAAGUAUCGGUAGGGGAGCAUUCCACCGGCGUUGAAUGGGAUAGGACGACUAUCCCUGGAGCCUGUGGAAAAGCAAAUGUAGGUAUAAGUAACGAUAAGGAGGGUGAGAUUCCCUCCCGCCGUAAGACCAAGGUUUCCCGGGCAAUGUCAAUCAGCCCGGGGUAAGUCGGGUCCUAAGUCUCAGCCGAAUGGCGAGGGCGAUGGCUGACACGGUUAAGAUUCCGUGACUUCCUUUAGGAGCUACGUGGUGACGGAGGCGUGAAACUGCCGCGGGGCGACGGAAAUCCCCGUUGACAGGUGUAGGCGUUGAUUGCUGCAGGCAAAUCCACAGCAAGAGCCGACCCUUAAAGUAUGCCGGUCUCUUCGGAGACGGGCAAUAGCGCAGGUAAUCAUACUCCCGAGAAAAACCGCUACGCUUAAUCCUAUAGGAACCCGUACCGCAAACGGACACACGUGGUCGUGUAGAAUAUACUGAGGCGUUGAGAGAUUCAUGGUUAAGGAACUAGGCAAAUUGACCCCGUAACUUCGGGAUAAGGGGUCCUCACUGUAUGGUGAGGCGCAGAGAAUAGGUCCAGGCAACUGUUUAACAAAAACACAGGGCUGUGCGAACUCGUAAGAUGAAGUAUACAGCCUGACACCUGCCCGGUGCCGGAAGGUUAAGAGGAGAUGUCACCGCAAGGGAAGCAUUGAAUUGAAGCCCCGGUAAACGGCGGCCGUAACUAUAACGGUCCUAAGGUAGCGAAAUUCCUUGUCGGGUAAGUUCCGACCUGCACGAAAGGCGCAACGACUUGGGCGCUGUCUCGACCAUGGACCCGGUGAAAUUGCACUGGUCGUGAAGAUGCGACUUACCCGCGGAAGGACGGAGAGACCCCGUGAACCUUCACUGCAGCUUGGCAUUGGCCGCUGGUCCCGCGUGUAGAGGAUAGGCAGGAGGCAUCGAUCCGGAGGCGCCAGCCCCCGGGGAGCCGCCCUUGGAAUACUGCCCUCGCGCGACCGGCGUCCUAACCCGAGGCCGUCGACCGGCUCGGGGACCGUGCCAGGCGGGCAGUUUGACUGGGGCGGUCGCCUCCUAAAGGGUAACGGAGGCGCGCGAAGGUCCGCUCGGGACGGUCGGCAACCGUCCUUUUGAAUGCAAGAGUACAAGCGGGCUUGACUGCGAGGCCCACAAGCCGAGCAGGUGCGAAAGCAGGCUCUAGUGAUCCGGCGGCCCCGAGUGGGUGGGCCGUCGCUCAACGGAUAAAAGGUACUCCGGGGAUAACAGGCUGAUCUUGCCCAAGAGUCCACAUCGACGGCAAGGUUUGGCACCUCGAUGUCGGCUCAUCGCAUCCUGGGGCUGGAGCAGGUCCCAAGGGUACGGCUGUUCGCCGUUUAAAGCGGUACGCGAGCUGGGUUCAGAACGUCGUGAGACAGUUCGGUCCCUAUCCUCCGUGGGCGCAGGAGAAUCGAUGGAGGCUGCCCCCAGUACGAGAGGACCGGGGUGGACGCACCUCCGGUGAACCGGUUGUCGACCAACGGCACGGCCGGGUAGCCGCGUGCGGCGCGGAUAACCGCUGAAGGCAUCUAAGCGGGAAGCCGUUCCAGGGAUUAGUUCUCCUUCCGGUAAGGGCCCAGGUAGACUACCUGGUCGAUAGACGGCAGGUGCAAGGCUGGCGACAGCCUCAGCCGAGCCGCACUAAUCGCCCGAGCUCUUCCGGA
rnacentral:rRNA from 1 species